rnacentral:misc_RNA from 1 species
GAUGAAGAACGUAGCGAAAUGCGAUAAGUAAUGUGAAUUGCAGAAUUCAGUGAAUCAUCGAAUCUUUGAACGCACCUUGCGCCCUUUGGCUAUUCUGAAGGGCAUGCCUGUUUGAGUAUCAUGAACACCUCAACUCUCACGGUUCGCCGUGAUGAGCUUGGACUUUGGGGGUAUUGCCGGCCACCGCCGGCUCCUCUCAAAUGAAUCAGCUUGCCAGUGUCUGGUGGCAUCACAGGUGUGAUAACUAUCUACGCUUGUGGUUUUCCGCCAGGUAACCUCCAGCGAUGGAGGUUCGCUGGAGCUCACAAAUGUCUCUCCUCAGCGAAGACAGCUCUUGAACGUUUGAUCUCAAAUCAGGUAGGACUACCCGCUGAACUUAAGCAUAUCAAUAAGCGGAGGA